AUCAACUUUCGAUGGUAGGAUAGAGGCCUACCAUGGUGGUAACGGGUAACGGGGUGUUAGGGCACGACACCGGAGAGGGAGCCUGAGAAACGGCUACCACAUCCAAGGAUGGCAGCAGGCGCGCAAAUUACCCAAUCCCGACACGGGGAGGUAGUGACAAUAAAUAACAAUACGGGGUUCUUUAGGAUCUCGUAAUUGGAAUGAGUACAAUUUAAAUCUCUUAACGAGGAACAAUUGGAGGGCGAGUCUGGUGCCAGCAGCCGCGGUAAUUCCAGCUCCAAUAGCGUAUAUUAAAGUUGUUGCAGUUAAAAAGCUCGUAGUUGAAUUUCGAGACCGGCUUACUGGUCGUGCUAUUGUACGUACUGGUAUAAUCGGUUUCUCCUUUCUGACGAACUAUAAUGCCAUUAAUUUGGUGUUUUAGGGAAUCAGGACUGUUACUUUGAAAAAAUUAGAGUGUUUAAAGCAGGCUCACGCUUGAAUACAUUAGCAUGGAAUAACGGAAUAGGACGUUUGAUUCUAUUUUGUUGGUUUCUAGGAUCGACGUAAUGAUUAAUAGGGAUAGUUGGGGGCAUUAGUAUUCAAUUGUCAGAGGUGAAAUUCUUGGAUUUAUUGAAGACUAACUACUGCGAAAGCAUUUGCCAAGGAUGUUUUCAUUAAUCAAGAACGAAAGUUAGGGGAUCGAAGACGAUCAGAUACCGUCGUAGUCCUAACCAUAAACUAUGCCGACUAGGGAUCGGAUGAUGUUAAUUUUUUAAUGACUCAUUCGGCGCCUUACGGGAAACCAAAGUGUUUGGGUUC
rnacentral:rRNA from 1 species